rnacentral:rRNA from 1 species
ACGUCUCAGUUCGGAUUGCAGGCUGCAACCCGCCUGCAUGAAGCCGGAAUCGCUAGUAAUCGCGGAUCAGAAUGCCGCGGUGAAUACGUUCCCGGGUCUUGUACACACCGCCCGUCACACCAUGGGAGUCGAUAACGCCCGAAGUCAGUGACCCAACCGAGAGGAGGGAGCUGCCGAAGGCGGGAUUGAUAACUGGGGUGAAGUCGUAACAAGGUACC